rnacentral:misc_RNA from 1 species
GAUGAAGAACGUAGCGAAAUGCGAUAAGUAAUGUGAAUUGCAGAAUUCAGUGAAUCAUCGAAUCUUUGAACGCACAUUGCGCCCCUUGGUAUUCCGAGGGGCAUGCCUGUUCGAGCGUCAUUAUAACCCCUCAAGCUCAGCUUGGUGUUGGGGCCUGCUGCACUGGCAGCCCUUAAAAUCAGUGGCGGCGCCAUCUGGCUCUAAGCGUAGUAAUUCUUCUCGCUAUGGAGUCCUGGUGGAUGCUUGCCAUCAACCCCCAAUUUUUCUAUGGUUGCCCUCGGAUCAGGUAGGGAUACCCGCUGAACUUAAGCAUAUCAAUAAGCGGAGGA